rnacentral:rRNA from 1 species
GAUGAACGCUGGCGGCGUGCCUAAUACAUGCAAGUCGAGCGAACGGACGAGAAGCUUGCGUCUCUGAUGUUAGCGGCGGACGGGUGAGUAACACGUGGAUAACCUACCUAUAAGACUGGGAUAACUUCGGGAAACCGGAGCUAAUACCGGAUAAUAUUUUGAACCGCAUGGUUCAAAAGUGAAAGACGGUCUUGCUGUCACUUAUAGAUGGAUACGCGCUGCAUUAGCUAGUUGGUAAGGUAACGGCUUACCAAGGCAACGAUGCAUAGCCGACCUCAGAGGGUGAUCGGCCACACUGGAACUGAGACACGGUCCAGACUCCUACGGGAGGCAGCAGUAGGGAAUCUUCCGCAAUGGGCGAAAGCCUGACGGAGCAACGCCGCGUGAGUGAUGAAGGUCUUCGGAUCGUAAAACUCUGUUAUUAGGGAAGAACAUAUGUGUAAGUAACUGUGCACAUCUUGACGGUACCUAAUCAGAAAGCCACGGCUAACUACGUG